rnacentral:rRNA from 1 species
AUUGAACGCUGGCGGCAUGCCUUACACAUGCAAGUCGAACGGCAGCACGGGAGCAAUCCUGGUGGCGAGUGGCGAACGGGUGAGUAAUAUAUCGGAACGUGCCCAGUCGUGGGGAUAACGUAGCGAAAGCUACGCUAAUACCGCAUACGAUCUAUGGAUGAAAGCGGGGGAUCGCAAGACCUCGCGCGAUUGGAGCGGCCGAUAUCAGAUUAGGUAGUUGGUGAGGUAAAGGCUCACCAAGCCGACGAUCUGUAGCUGGUCUGAGAGGACGACCAGCCACACUGGGACUGAGACACGGCCCAGACUCCUACGGGAGGCAGCAGUGAGGAAUAUUGGACAAUGGCGCAAGCCUGAUCCAGCCAUGCCGCGUGCAGGAUGACGGUCCUAUGGAUGUAAACUGCUUUGUACA